GCUCCUAUAGCUCAGUUGGUAGAGCAGUUGAUUUGUAAUCAUCAGGUCCGCGGUUCGAGUCCGUGUGGGAGCACCA
rnacentral:tRNA from 2 species